UUCACGAGAAUCCUUAACCUAACAGU
rnacentral:piRNA from 1 species